GUCUGAAAGAACCAAUGACAGAACUGGCUCAGGGACCGAGCAUGGGGUGAAGCAGAAGAUCUGAGUAACCCAUAUCCUGGCCCACCAGCCCCAGAAUUAUUGAGUAUUUGAUUGUUUAAACCAAAAAGACGGCUGCAGAAACUUUCUUGGGCUAACACAAGUAAGAAUUUUUAAACCCAUUUAGAGUCAAGCGUGUGGUUAAGGCAGCAUAAACGCGUUGUGUGCUUCUUGGCGGUUCCUUCCUGGUUUCAUUUCUUUUUUCCUCUCCAUGUCCAACUUCCUUUUGAAGUCUUGAAUCGGCUGAGGGCUGAAGGAAGCCCCAAGGGGGAAGCACAAUGAGUCUAGCACUAGACAAAGUGGUCCCCGAAGAGGAGAGGGAAGGACGAAAGACCAGGCCUCAAAUGAAGUGCAUCCACCUUGGAUCAGGAGGCAGCGGGAGGCGGACAUGGGAGUUCCCAGGGAGCUACCCAGAGAGGGGCCGUCCAGCUCCCACAUGGGCACGUCAUCUGUCCCGGCCCAAACCUUCCUCCAAGUACAUCUGCAGCCCCUCAAAAUCACUUUCUCAAGAAGGAAAUGCUCGUCAGGGACGGGAAUAGCAUGUCUUUGCUGGUGCUGAGACGAUGAUCAGCUUGGCAUCAGAAAUCUGCAGAGAGGGGAAGGGAAUGGGGUUUAAAUUAUUUACACCAGACCUUCUCUUUUAGCAAAGACUGCAUGAGAGAGACAGAUAAUUCAGGCCAUCUGGACCCGAGGCCGAUGACCAGGACAGAUGCCACCUAGAUCAAAAGAGGAAGAUAUUUUUAGAGUUUUGAAUGUGGGCUCUGAAAACUUUUAUAUCUUAAGCCAAAUGAACAUCAUGAUGGAUGGUUCAGACUUAACUGGGUCUUUAUCAGGGGAUGGAUUAAAAAGUAAGAAGUCCUAGAAACUAAUUUCUGAAAAUGAGGGGAGCCAGAAUUGCAACACUUCCAUCAAAUAUGCCGAGGCUUGGUCAGCCAGGGCAAUGGGGUCCAGGAUCAAAGAUAAUAUCUGGGCUCAGGCUGAAAAGCUGGUUUUCAUGGAGCUUGCCCAGCUUGCUCUGGGGCCUCAGCCACCCAGCCCCACGGUGGGCCUUGCCUCGUCUGUUAGGUGGUAUUUUCAUCUUUGGUCAGAUGACAGCCCCCAUGCUCCAAAAAUUCUCCUGCAGCCAGGGCUUGGAGAAUCCCGACCCCUCUCUGGCAUGAACCUCUCCUCAUCCAGGGUGGCUUGUGUGGUAGAGCCAGGGGAAUGGAGAAGAUGACCUCUGAAGCCUGAAGGCUCUUUGGGAAGCAGGACACAAACAUCCUGAAGAGCCAGCCUUGAGCUGGCUGCACAAGAGACUCAUAGACUUUGCGUCAACAUCCACCUCUCCAGGCUGCAGUGGGUGUACCUGUUCACCACCACCUCCAGCAGCACUGUCGCAGCGGAGCAGUUCUUACAGCCAAUGAGCUUCCACACCACCUCCCUGCAGUUCUCUGCAACCGAGGCUCCAUCCUGCACUGAUGGGCUGCCUGACACGUCGGCCUCAACAAGCAUUUCCAGCACAUUCUCAGCUUUCCUGCUCUGCUGGGCAAAACACAGGGUGAGAAGGGGAGAGGAAGAACGGGACUGUGGCCCAGUUCUAGGCUUGGAGUCUAGCGAGGAACACCAGGUGCCUGCAUUAAAAGGAAUGGCUUGAGGCUUCCAAAUUCACAUCCUCUGGUUUGCACAAACAGGCCAGGCAGCUGCACCUCUGAGCUGCCUCCAGUCCAUGGUUAAUUGCCAGAAAAUAAUUCGCCCUGAGGUCAUUGCCGUUUAAACAGCUGGCUUCGUCUUUUCCUGUUUGGCCGGUCGUUCUGGGCUCCCUGGCCCUCCCUCCACCUGCUUCUGUGAUCCUCUCAAACACAGCCGGCUGGGAGCCUCAGGCUGGGCUCUUCUCCCUCCAGCUUAACUUGGCGACGUCUUGAUCCUUGUGUUGUGCUGAUGCGAGGCUGUUCUGGGAAUAGGCUAGUCCCUCCACCUUGUCGUGACCUGCCUGGACACCGAGCCUCCACCAUCAGGCUAUCACUUGCAGGAAAUUUUGCAAACCCUGUGUCUCUCUAAUCAUACAGGAUGGUUGGAGAGACAAAAGAGGAAAAUGAAUGCUUCCACGAAGCUCCCUCUUUGUGGCAGAAUCAGUCCAAUGGAGAAAUUCUGAAAUUCCAGUUUUACAAAGUUCUUCAAACUUACCUCAAGGAUGGCACCAGCUGAAGCUCAGUUGCCCUGUCUCUUAUGCACCAGUGCAUCUGCCCCAGAAACUCUUAUCUGGGGCUCAGUUUGCCCCCAUGUGGUAUAAGUCCCUCCAAAGAUUCCAUUUCUAGUUACUCGUCUCAAUGUCACAAUGAGAAAUAUUUCUGCAUAUUUCCUGCAAAGCGUCUCAUUAAAGAAAGUAUUGGUUUGAUUCAGAAAAUGCUAUGCUGUUCCAGCUUCACUUUGGAUCUAUAGUUUUAGAAAGUAUCCAACUCUGCUUCUAGUUUAAGCUGCCCUGUUAAAGAGUUAAUGGAAAAAACCCCACUAUGGUAUGAGGAAGGGGUGGGAAUUAACGUUUGGGUCCCAUUCUGUGCCUAAAACACUGGUUCCCUCUAUGUUUUGAGCCUGAAAUUGAGUCGUUCUUAUGGAAGGCAGAUGCUAGAGGAGCUUUCUUUGGGAUUCUCAUUACCCGUUUCCAUCAGACCAGGCCAUUAGAUGGUUGCUUCUAGAAGGAUGGUGCAGCCCUGAGUCUGCAGGGGGCAGACCGGUCACAAAAACCAGAGUGGAGCUGGGGGUCAGACUGGAGUUCAUUGGGUAGGUUCAGUUCACACCCUGGUGCACAGGGUCCACGAAGGCACAACAAGGCACAGGUGAGAGCCAGGAGGGCAAGCAGGGAUCCAAGUGUACACAGCCCAGGGAGCAAGACAAGCAGAGAGGCCUGGAGCCAGAAGGAGGCUCGGAAACAACGAUGCCAGCAGUGAGCUCACGGGUCAGAAGCUUCUGGCCCAAGGCUUUAUGGAGGCCAUGCCUGAGCUGAAUAUUGGUGGCUGAGCAGCCAAUAAACGGAACACAGAUGGGGCCAGGGCAGGGAAUUCCAGGCAGGAGGAACAGCCAGAGAGCAAAGGCAGGGAGGCUGGAAGCUUUGCUGUGUGAGGAUCUGUGUACACACAGGGAAUGCUUCACAGGCUGUAGAGACAGUGACUAGCUUCUGAGAUCAGAGUAGGCUGGGCUGAGUAAUGGGAAGGGUGGAGGGGGCAGAGACCCACAUUACAGCCCGUGGCCCUGAACCCAGGACAAGCCACGGGGGUGGAGGAGCAGGCAGGAGAUGCUCCACCACUGCUGGCAAGGAGCAGGGCAGCCUGCCCAAGGGGGUACUGCCUGGAGCAUCACUGACUUACCCCAUCUGCUGGCGAGGAUACAGAAGCUCAGCCCACAGGGCCACCAUGGAUGGCCCUAAAGGUUGUGUCCUAUGCAAGGGGACCACAGAAGGCUGGUGCCCUGGACAGUUGGCAAGAGGCUGAGCGCAGGGCAGUGAGGGAUGCUCGUGUGCCUGGGGAAAGCUUCCCUGGGCUUCCCUUUUUUUUCUCCAUCUUCACCCUCUCACCCCUCACCCCUCCUGACACCCUGUCCCUUGGGGGAGCACCUAACACCCCUGUGUCCACCUGAACCACACCAGCCCUAACGUGCUGAAUCCCCGCUAAAUGAGCCCAGUGCUCAUCCAUCCAUCCGCGCAUCCGUUGUUCAGUGGGGAAAGUAGCACGUAGCAGGUCCGAGCACAGGCUCUGCAGCCAGAAUUCCUGGGUUCCAUGCCUCACCCAGCCACGUAUUUGCUGUGUGACCUCAGGCAAGCUACUUAGCUUCUCCACGCACGUGUGCUCAUCUAGAAAACGAGGCUGAUGCUCGUGCCCACGUGGCAAUGUGAUGAGUAAUGCUAGUACUCAUCUCUGAGGGUGGAUGGGAGAGACACGCAAAGUGUUUGCAAGGGGGCCGGCACCUGGGAGCACUCAUACAUGUUGGCUGUCACUGUCAUGGAGCACCACCGUGUGCCGGGCUCUGCUUGGUGCUCCUGGGCUGCUCACAUGAGCAAGGUGCUGACUCUGCCAAGGAAGGGUGCUUUUUUUUUCUUUUGGAGAAAGAAAAGGGAUGCUUUCUGCUGCUCCCGCCCUGAAAACACUGCGUGCCCCUCUGCUCUUCUCCUACUAGGCUUGAGAAGCAAGACCAGCACACCCUGAGUUGGGGUGUUGCCUCCUAAGCCACUGGCCAGCAAUUCUGGGGGGGGGGGUGGGGACGCUGAAGAGAAUGCGGGGCUCUGCUGGUGCAGCAUGGACCCUCCUUGGUCUGGUGAGCUGGGAGAAGCAGGACAGCAUGGGGUCCAGUGAUACUAACCGUGUGGAAAUAGAACUCCUCCAGAUUACAGGGCACCUGAGAAUUUCUUACUGACUUUUGUUUAAUAAUUCAAAAACACAUCAAAUCAAACUUAAUCAAGGCAAAAGCUGUCUCUGGAGCCUUCUUCGUGCUUCCUGGAGUCAAGCUCUUACAGAAUCACGGCAGCACCCCCCUCCCUAGCUCACGAAGGAAGCUGGAGGACUCCACAGCUGCUUCAGGAAACAGACUGUCCCCAGGGAACCCUUCAGAGAUCUUGGGACCAGACAGGAUGUACCUGGACUCCUGGAAUUCCCUCUCCAGCCUCCAGGUCCCGUGAGGAUGUGAGCUGGAGCAGUACGGGCUUCCCUGAUCCUUCCUGUGUCCAGACAGCCAACAUGUGCCGCGGGAGCCCUGAGAUGAUUCCGAUGCACGGAGGGAGCCGGGAAACGCUGGUAUUUCUGCCUGUCACUUAUUAUCUGGUUGAGCUGGUGGCGGGAGUCCCGGCCCAUGUGUGUUACCAGAGGGAUGGUCUAGAGAAUGAAUCCAUCUGUCAGAGGCAUCCAAGAAGAAAGGCCUGGGCCAGGAUCACAUGGAAGACCCUGAAGACAGGAUCGGGUCUUGCCUGCCUGGAUUGAACAGAGACGCAGUGACCAGUCCCAUCUGCUCCCACCCUGCUGCCCUCUGAAUCGAGAGUUUGAGGCCAUGACCAGGGUAACGUUCAGCUGGUAGAGACAACACAACCCUGCUGGCUGUUUAAGCCAUGCUGGAGUGGUGCUCACAGGGUAACAAUUUUCAAGUGCUACGGAUGCAAUAGCUCAGCGACUGGCAGCGCAGCACGUACCUGCUGUCGUGGGAGGUGAGAGCCACCAGUGCCCGACAGCGGCUGCAAGGCAGUGGUGGCGCUCUGCAGCCAGCCGGCCCACCCCUCCAACAUCUGCAAGGGGGUGGGAGGCUGCCUCACCAAGCUACCUGCUACUCAUGGGGGCGAUGGGCAUCAGGGUGGCCUGCCUGGAGCCCCGAGAGCACAUAGAAGCUGCCAGAUGAGGGCAGUGAGGCCGAGGGCCGGCAGUAGGGCUGCAGAUGCCCUGAGCCCUAAGGUCAAGGUGGAUGGAACUGCUGUGUAAGUCUGAUGCCGAGGAGACCAGGUCGUUGGGCUUUCAGCCCUGCGGCCGCCAAGUCUCAGGUUAGAGCUCCCUCUCGCGGCCGAUGCUGGGCACUACAUUGCCCAAGACCCAGGUGGGCCGAAGUCUUGAGAAAGGGCUCGCAGUCAUCGUCGCCAGCAGGCAGACACCAGGCACCUACCUCCCCGACAUACCCAGCCUGGUACCUCGAAGACCAGUAGCCUUGAGCUACACUUGGGAUUCCCAAUACAGUUUCAAAACCGUCUAGCUCAUCUUUCAGGAACCUUCCAGGGUUCACAUUCUGAUUUUUCAGUAAGGUUCUCACCUCUGUGACCAAUUACCUUGAGACUGAUGUCCUGCACCAUCCUGGAGUGUUGGGAUCUGCAGGUCGUGAAAAGGGAAACCAAGCAAUCACUUUGGAAUGACUUCCUGGAACUUCCCUGGCCCCUCCUUCGUGUUCUCUGAUGACAGCCAGGAGCUGACUCAGAAACCUCAUAAGAAGCUGAAGGCAUGACGACUUCCCUGUUAAAAAAAAAAUGUCCCACGUGUGGCCGAGUGCCACACCCAGGCAGCUGCCGAAAAAAAGCACCAGACACCAUGCAGCUGGGCCCCAGGGCCCGGCCCAACCCGGUUGGCCUUCUCCGGCACCUGCAGGGAACUUGUCCUGUCUUGUCUCUGCUCGCCCCCUGCUGGCUGCCUGGAGCCAUUCCGUGCUGGUUUCUUCGCGUCUUCUGUCAGGAGAGAGAUGCUGAUGCUUACUCAGGGAUCCGGCGGCUGUGACCCUGAGGCCCCGAGGUGGAUUAACAGAGCCCUCAGCACCGAGUCUCCAAGCUGAAGGCAGUGGUCACACUCCCUGCUGCCCUCCAGGUUUGGAGGGAUGGAGAGGAGAGAGGAGGGGAAGAAGCUACCUUCUUCACUAGCCUUGCUGAGAGACAAGUGGGUACGGCCCACAGGCACCUCCACCAGCCUGCCCUCUACAUCCAGAUUCGCAAG
rnacentral:lncRNA from 1 species